GCUGUGGCUCAAGUCCUAGAGAAUAGGAUGACAGGUUUCUGGAUCUCAGACCUCUUCAUAGGAAGUCCACAUUGCAGAGAUCUGAGCACUUUGACAAGAUCACUGUCUUGGGCAUCCCACAGCCAGCUUUCUUUUGGCUCACUUUGUAUACAAGUUCUGAGGCAAACCAA